UGGGGAAUAUUGCACAAUGGGCGCAAGCCUGAUGCAGCAACGCCGCGUGAGGGACGACGGCCUUCGGGUUGUAAACCUCUUUUAGUAGGGAAGAAGCGAAAGUGACGGUACCUGCAGAAAAAAGCACCGGCUAACUACGUGCCAGCAGCCGCGGUAAUACGUAGGGUGCGAGCGUUGUNCCGGAAUUAUUGGGCGUAAAGAGCUCGUAGGCGGUCUGUCGCGUCUGCUGUGAAAACCCGAGGCUCAACCUCGGGCCUGCAGUGGGUACGGGCAGACUAGAGUGCGGUAGGGGAGAAUGGAAUUCCUGGUGUAGCGGUGGAAUGCGCAGAUAUCAGGAGGAACACCGAUGGCGAAGGCAGUUCUCUGGGCCGUAACUGACGCUGAGGAGCGAAAGCGUGGGGAGCGAAACAGGAUUAGAUACCCUGGUAGUCCACGCCGUAAAACGUUGGGCGCUAGAUGUGGGGACCAUUCCACGGUUUCCGUGUCGCAGCUAACGCAUUAAGCGCCCCGCCUGGGGAGUACGGCCGCAAGGCUAAAAGCUUAAAGGAAUUGACGGGGUCAUAGCUGUUUCCUG
rnacentral:rRNA from 1 species